UGUCAUUAACUAAGGUAGGCUAUUAUUUAACUACCAUAGGGUGUCAUUAACUAAGGUAGGCUAUGAUUUAACUACCAUAGGGUGUCAUUAACUAAUUAUUUAUCUUUUCCUACAUGGAAUUGUCUUAGUAUACUUGAUUUUUAAAUAGUGAUCGUUCUUGUUAUUAUGUCACAAUUAUUCUCUAGGUCCUCAGAGCUCAAGACACCAUCCCAAUCGAUUAUUUUUAAGUCAUUUUCAAAAUGGACCAAGUCUCUUUUUGGUAAACAACUAUCAAAUAGGGGAGAGGCAUUGUGCCGUGAGGUGUUGCUUUAUCAGU